CAUCCAGACUCCUACGGGAGGCAGCAGUAGGGAAUCUUCCACAAUGGACGAAAGUCUGAUGGAGCAACGCCGCGUGAGUGAAGAAGGGUUUCGGCUCGUAAAGCUCUGUUGGUAGGGAAGAAAGAUAGAGGGAGUAACUGGCCUUUAUUUGACGGUAAUUACUUAGAAAGUCACGGCUAACUACGUGCCAGCAGCCGCGGUAAUACGUAGGUGGCAAGCGGUGUCCGGAUUUAUUGGGCGUAAAGCGAGUGCAGGCGGUUCAAUAAGUCUGAUGUGAAAGCCUUCGGCUCAACCGGAGAAUUGCAUCAGAAACUGUUGAACUUGAGUGCAGAAGAGGAGAGUGGAACUCCAUGUGUAGCGGUGAAAUGCGUAGAUAUUAGGAGGAACACCAGUGGCGAAGGUGGCUUACUGGACUGUAACUGACGUUGAGGCUCGAAAGCGUGGGGAGCAAACAGGAUUAGAUACCCGUGUA
rnacentral:rRNA from 1 species